rnacentral:rRNA from 1 species
UACGAAGGGGGCGAGCGUUGUUCGGAAUUACUGGGCGUAAAGGGCGCGCAGGCGGCCCUUGAAGUCAGGCGUGAAAGCCCCGGGCUCAACCUGGGAGGUGCGCUUGAUACUCGAGGGCUUGAGUGGGGGAGAGGAGAGUGGAAUUCCCAGUGUAGAGGUGAAAUUCGUAGAUAUUGGCUGGAACACCGGUGGCGAAAGCGGCUCUCUGGCCCGGUUCUGACGCUGAGGCGCGAAAGCGUGGGGAGCAAACAGG